CCUACGGGAGGCAGCAGUGAGGAAUAUUGGUCAAUGGGCGCGAGCCUGAACCAGCCAAGUCGCGUGAGGGAAGACGGUCCUAUGGAUUGUAAACCUCUUUUGUCGGGGAGCAAAAGACGCCACGCGUGGCGUUCCGAGAGUACACGUAGAAACAGCAUCGGCUAACUCCGUGCCAGCAGCCGCGGUAAUCCGGAGGAUGCGAGCGUUAUCCGGAUUUAUUGGGUUUAAGUGGUGCGCGGGCGGAAGUUCAAGUCAGCGGUAAAAUUGAGAGCCUCAACGUCUUAGCGCCGUUGAAACUGGUAUGCUUGAGUGAGUGAGAAGUAUGCGGAAUGCGUGGUGUAGCGGUGAAAUGCAUAGAUAUCACGCAGAACCCCGAUUGCGAAGGCAGCUUGCUGCAGCGGAACUGACGCUGAUGCUCGAAAGCGCGGGUAUCGAACAGGAUUAGAUACCCUUGUAGUC
rnacentral:rRNA from 1 species